GCUGAGUAACAGCACUGUGUGCCUCUCUGGGCUAAUCUCUGUCAUCUCAACACACUGUUUUCCCUCUAGGGAGGGUUGGCAUGUUCCAGUUCCAGCAGCCGGUGUGCCGGGCGAUGUUCAGCAGAGCCAGAGAGCAGGAACAGCAGGGGCACAUACCGAAAUAUUUGCAGAUGAGGAUGAUGUGAUUCUGGUGGGCAGCCAAUGAGUGGGGAUACAGAGGAAGCAAGUUUGACCCUGAAUUGAUAAUCACUGGAGCAGAAUGACGGGGACACAGAGGUUAGUGAUACUACUGGGUCUGUUUUUGUGUAAGUCUGAUAGGUUCCAUCAAAAGAAGUGUAAAAUAACCAAAAGGCUUAACGGGGACUCAUCCUUGCCAGCACAUUUGCCGAGGAGUGGGCAAGUGCUGCCUGUCGCAGUUGUAUAAUCGCUGGGGGUAAAUGUGGAAGUUCGUCAAUCAGCAAGGCCGUAGUGGGGGCUGACUGGCAGCAAGCCCAGCGCUGCGUGGCUGUCAUCUUGCCUCGAGGCCCAUUUGCCCUCUAUAAAUAACAGUCUAUAUGAAUGCUUUACUAUUUUAACACACAUGGGCCACAGCUGCUGAGCACGUUUGUUUACGUAGCUAUGAAACCUUCUGUAAACACCACUAUCUCAAAAUCGCCCAUGUGUCAGGAACAUAAACGGCCCCCUUUAAAAAUAUAUCUGCAGAUGAGACACAGCCAACUCCUAGAUGUCUGAGUGGCUGGUGUCAGAAUUUUCCAGGGUUUGAUUCAUUUUCAAAAAUAGAACCACAUGACUGGAAGGUUCUUGAAAGGUCGCCUGGCAUGUCCCUCCUGACUUCAGGCGGGACCAGGCCAAAGCCAUUCACAAAGGACUCGGGGCUGUUCUGCGUGGGCAUGGGUCUGUCUUUUGUGCAGUCCCUUCAAGGCCAUGAAAGGGGGGCUCGCUUCCAGCCUUCAAGGAGCCCACUUUCGUUUUCUAAAAAUGGAACCUGACCCUGCAAUGCGGCUGGCAUUGGAAGGCAGUGCAUCCACAGAGCACCACUCGCCUGCACCGGGCCUGAGCUCCCAGCAGACGGAAGGACCCAGGUGGCCUCCUGUGGGACAACUCCGGUCUCCGGAAAACACCACGCUGGGAUCAUCCUGUGCCCAGGAUGCCUGCUUCCUAACAGGGAAGAGGGCACCGCGUGAAGGUGGCCAUGUGGGCCUUCCCUCCUCCCUGGAAGAGGCCUGCUCGUGGAGACCACUGAGCACAGCAGGUUAAGGUCAACUGCGACAUUGUUGAAAGAAGUGAUGAGCGCAGGGGAAGCUGUUUUGUGUCAGCUUGCUAUUAUCACGGCUCCUGAUUUCCAGUCCAGCACUACAAUGAAUAAUUAGAUCCCUGUGAAUUUGUUUUCCUCGAGUGUGCAUUUGGUCCACAUUUUUUUUUCCUGUGGUUUUGAGAGAUUGAAGCAUUUUUCUCCCCUAAGGGCCUGUUUAAUGCCCAUAAAUCCUAAUUGAGCUUUUCAUUCACAAAGAAACAGUAUCCUGCUGAAGCGUAAGAGAGCAGCUGUGCUGGGGGUACUGAGUUGUAUGAUUCCCCUGAGGAAAAGACCAAGACACUUCCAGUUUCCAGACACCUCCAGAACUUUCUAGAACCCCCCCCCCAAGUCUAGAAAUUAGAAGACUAUUUUUUAAAAGAAAAUGAGUAGCAGUUGCCUUUUCCCAGGGAUGGGGUGAGCGUUUGGAUUGAUUUUGCUGGUAAUUACUCAGAUUUCUCUAUGAAAGCUGUAGAAAGGCCAUAGGGUGCUCAGAGGCAAGUAUCACUGUUAAUUACCAAGAAAACCAUAUUCCUCCCUUUGGAAAGGCUCACUCAUUACCAGCUGUCAUCAGAAAGCCAGGGCCUGCCCCAGGGAGAAUUCUGACUCAGGGACAUCACAAAGAUAAUUUGCUUAUUCCAGAUUCAUUUAUUUUACAGAGAUUGGGCUCUGGUUUGAGGGAACACAAAGCUUAACUCCCACAAUUUAAAGCUCAGACUAGCAUCAGUAACCAGAGGGUACGUCUCCAGUGGUUUUUGCUUCUUGAGCUUGGAGACACUGCCCUCUCUCAUGUCCUCUUGGGGGAAUUUAUGGUGAAAAGGGAAAAGAAAAACUGCAUCCUGAGUGGUCAGUUCAUAGUGUCAGAGGCUGUAGCUCUGUGGCCGCUAGGGGGAUCCAGAGUCCCUGUGCUCAGCUGAGGUUGGGGAAGUUUCUGGUCUGUAGGAAAGUGACAGCUCCCUGUUUGAAUUAUUUCUCUUUCCUCCCUCCUCCCCAGCCUCCCCUCCUCCUCUCUCCCUCCUCCCUUUCUCUUCCCUCCCUCCUCCCCUUCUCCUCCUCUCCUUCCUCCCUUUCUCUUCCCUCCCUCCUCCUCCCUCCCUCCUCCCCUUCUCCU
rnacentral:lncRNA from 1 species